rnacentral:rRNA from 1 species
UGCUCUCGGGUGACGAGUGGCGGACGGGUGAGUAAUGUCUGGGAAACUGCCUGAUGGAGGGGGAUAACUACUGGAAACGGUAGCUAAUACCGCAUAACGUCUUCGGACCAAAGUGGGGGACCUUCGGGCCUCACGCCAUCGGAUGUGCCCAGAUGGGAUUAGCUAGUAGGUGGGGUAACGGCUCACCUAGGCGACGAUCCCUAGCUGGUCUGAGAGGAUGACCAGCCACACUGGAACUGAGACACGGUCCAGACUCCUACGGGAGGCAGCAGUGGGGAAUAUUGCACAAUGGGCGCAAGCCUGAUGCAGCCAUGCCGCGUGUAUGAAGAAGGCCUUCGGGUUGUAAAGUACUUUCAGUGGGGAGGAAGGCGAUGAAGUUAAUAACUUCGUCGAUUGACGUUACCCGCAGAAGAAGCACCGGCUAACUCCGUGCCAGCAGCCGCGGUAAUACGGAGGGUGCAAGCGUUAAUCGGAAUUACUGGGCGUAAAGCGCACGCAGGCGGUCUGUCAAGUCGGAUGUGAAAUCCCCGGGCUCAACCUGGGAACUGCAUUCGAAACUGGCAGGCUAGAGUCUUGUAGAGGGGGGUAGAAUUCCAGGUGUAGCGGUGAAAUGCGUAGAGAUCUGGAGGAAUACCGGUGGCGAAGGCGGCCCCCUGGACAAAGACUGACGCUCANGUGCGAAAGCGUGGGGAGCANACNNGAUUAGAUACCCUGGUAGUCCACGCCGUAAACGAUGUCGACUUGGAGGU